UUAAAUGAAGCUUCAAGCACUUUGUUGUUACCAAAGAGACGGCUUCCCAUUUAAA
rnacentral:tRNA from 1 species